CCCUCUAAUUUUCACUGGUCAUUUGGUAAAAGAUAGAGCAAGUUUUAGGAAAAGGCAGCUUUUCAGUUGACUGAAAAUCUAUUUAGCAAAGCUCUACUGGGGUGUUGGGAUAGAAAAAGUAAGUCCUGAUGCCAAAAUGCCUUUAGGGAAAAUAUUUUGGAACUUACACACCAAUAUCUCCCUGACUCCAUUAGAACAAUAUUUAUAAGGGCAGCUGCUGCUCCUGAUUAUCCCAUGGUUUUAAGGAGUCAUCCAUGUUUUAAGGAGAUGGAAAUCAACUGGGAGUUUGGCAUUUCACAGCUUUUGCUGCAAAUUGUCUCUUUGCAAGAUUCUGCAGGGUUAGAAAUUGAUUUUUUCUUCUUGUGCUCAGCUGCUCCUGUGGAGCCCCAGCCUUUCUGCAGGCAACAUGUUGUUCCAGCCAGCCCAGUUUAGGCAAGUACAGUAACUCCAGUGCAACACAGUUCUUUGCAUUGCCAGACUUGUUCAUUCUUGGAGCAUUUCCCAGAAAUCUGUGCUGGACAGAUGUAGUUCAAAUCCAGGCCAGCUACUUCUUUAGCUGGGAUUACUGUUAAUUUAGUGCACACAUUUCUUCUCUGGGAAGGAUCUCAGCUACCAAGAUCCUGACAGCACUAAACUGCUAGCACCCAACACUACUGGCUGGUUUCCCACUGGAGUUCAGAUGUCUCCACAACCCAGCCCUGGUUAUGUAGAAGCAUUGCCAUUAGUAGGAAGUAAUUUGUGCAUCAACUGCAGAGUAAACACAGAGGGUGUUUGGGUUUCCUUUCCAUUAAUCAGGCCAGAAUGACUCAGGAAGCUCUCCAUGCUUUGUGAUAUUUCUGAGUUCACUAGAAAUAGUGAAGGUCAAUAAAGGUUUAAUAUUCUUUAUUAAGUCAAAUAAAGGUUUAAUAUUCUCUAUUAAAAUUAUUACUCUAUUAAAAAUUAUAAAAUAAUUAUUAAAAUUAUAGUGCAUUAUACAAGAUUACUAAUUUUUCCAGAAGAUUUGUCUCCAGCACUGGGAAAGGAUUUGAUACAGCCUUUGACAACCUUUUUCAAAAUGUAGUGAUGAGAUGACACUUUCCUCCACCUGUCAGGAAAGAAGGGAUCUUCCUCCUGAUUCUACAUACAUUUGGUAGAUAAAUAAAAGAGGUAACAUAAAACCACAUUCAGUGAUAACUUAUGGUAGAUGUCUAGACAGCAGCCAUAUUUUCUUUAAAAAAAAUUGUAUUUUAAAAUUUAAUUUAGUACAUGUACUAACUCUAUACUCUGUUUAUCUUGGCUUUUUAUAGAACAGCUAAAAGUAAAUUUCCUAGCUGGAAAAAUUGUAUCCUUUUUCAGUAUGUAUAAGGAUAAAAAUAUUUUUCUGUCACAUGGUCAGUCUUUCUUCUGCAGAAGUUAGAAAUUAGAAGUCUGACCUUCUGAUGGAUGUAGGAGCUGGCAGAGGGUUUCAAAGCUACCAAAUCCAGACACCUCAGUAUAUAACCUGAGCAGGCUUUCCCUGAUGAGAAACUGAGACUUUUAUUCUUGCAGUUUUGAACAAGAGACUAAAAACAAAAUGGAAGACAAGUUGGUUCUUUUUUCUAAAGGCUACUUCUACUUACACCUUUUGAGUAGGAUCUUUAUCCUUACCCCCAGUGUUUACCCUCCUGAUGUGUUUAUAGACAGCAGUCACAUCCUCACCGAGGUUUGUUUUGUCAGACUACACAAACUGUUUCUUUUGUUUCCUCCUGUUCUAGCACAUUCCUCAUUCCCAGCUGCCUACUCUGUUCUAGUGGGGCAACAGGGCUUUUACAGAGAUUUCAUUACAGCUGAUGCAGUUUUAGAAAUUGAAAAAAAAAAACAACCCCUGGGAUAGCUCCAGCUCUUAUCUAAAUGUCUGGAUGUCCAAGCUUGUGGAAUACUCACCAGUUCCUCUUCCAUCCUUCAGCACCUAUAGAAGAUAACUAAGAUUCAUCUAGAUAUGACAUCCAGCAAGCACUCAAAAAUAGAGCCUUCCCAGUUGACAAAGAAUUGGCAAAUGGGCCUGUCAUCCAGCUAUAUUUUCAAUGGCUUCUCUACCACAGCUGUGGGGCUCAACUUAUUUAAAUUGGAAUGGUUUGGUUGCCUUGAUUCAUGAACGACUGAUUCUGCCAUCUUCAGAGGUUAAACAUCGCUUCAGCCUUCACAGUGGACUAGAAGAGAUAAAGGAGACAGGAUGCCAUUGCAGGAAGAUACGUCUCACUGAGCAAGAGGAUGAGAGUUCACUGAAUAUUUUCUGCAAAGCAAGCUUCUCUUUCCUCUCUUCCCACCAUGUCUUCACUGGGCCUUUACUUGUAAACCUCUAGACCCUCAAUCUUUUGACUUCUCUGUGUCAGGUUCAAUAUUUGUGUUCAGUUCCUUGGAGAAGCAUCAGGCAUUGCUCUGCAUUGAGGUCCUGCCAGUGCUUAAAGCCUUGGAUCCAUCUGGAGAGAGAAAAUGAGCAGCAUAAAUUCCCAGUUUGUGUAUGAGCUAAAAAGGUGGUUGGUCUCUGCUAUUUCUGCAUUUGGGAUCCUGAGUCUGAGUGCGGGCUCGUUAUUCUAUUGGAUUAUAUAUCAGAAGUAAUUUCUUUUCCUGGGAAGUCAAUCCUGCAUACGUGCAGAUCUAUUCUAAAAUGGAUUCCUUGUGUCUCUCAGAUGUUACUUUUGCCUUGGAUAGUCUUCAGAAAAACAAAUUGUCUGAUUAAGUUUACCAUUGGUUUUGCCCCCCAUCUAGAAAUGAGAGGAGAUCAUAGGUUUAGCACAUUUUCUGGAUGCUGAGAUUCAUAUGCAGAGUGUUGAAGGAGCAGCAUCUUUCAUUAGCAUCCACUCUCUUGUGCUGCCCUUAAGUAUCUUGGAUUGAUGCGUUUUUCAUUUUCCAAUGCAAUUGAACCUUCCUGUGCUGGUUCUUCAGCAAAGCUAUAAUAUCUUCAAACCUAAGAGAAGGGUAAUUUUGAAGUUUUCAGUUACAGGAGUAAUGCCAGGCUUGUUUCCUUAAAUGCUGUAGGCAAGGAUUGUGCUGUUUGAGGUGAAUACAGCACAAACUACUGUGCAGAUCUGUCCACUUCAGACAUCUCAGUGGAAGCCAGAUGAAUAGCACUGUUUCAGGCAUGGACCAGAGCAGUGGGAAAAUGGCCAUCAAGAGUUAAGGGUUUAUAGGUAUAAUGAAGGGUAGAUUUUCUCCCUUCCCUGCAAACCCCUUUUAAAGAAGUUUCUGAGCAGAAAAAAAGGCUUGCUGUCAAUCACCAUUUACUGUCACUUCUUUUCACAGAUUUCUGUGCUGUUUUUCUCAUAUCUGCAGUUAUUCUAUUUAUCCCUGUUUUUAUGGUAUGCAUCUGUUCUUAGUUAUUCUCCAGCCUGUCACUCUUCUAAACUUCACUGUAUUCCCCUAGAAAUCACCUUUUUAUUUUUAAGCUCCUGUCUGCCUCUCAGGGUUUCUGCAUUUUUUGUUACCAUCUUUCUAUGGAGCAUCUUCUCACUGUAUAUCUUAAGCCCAGUUUCUUUAGCAGUUUCCUUCAUCUCACUGCUGCUGGACUUCCCUUCAUCUUGUGCCCAGUGUGUUGUCAUUUUGAGUCACAGAUGGAAGGCUGAGCUGCAAGGCUGCAGGAACCCUGGGCUUCCACAUAGAAGUGCUGCAGCCAAAUACAGAUGUCUAAUUCCAGAUGAGGCUGGCAACCUUCAGAUGUUAUUUAUGAGUCUGAAGAAAUAAUACUUCCCCAAGCACUUAAAUAGCUGGAUGUUGGAUCAAGUUUGAGUUGGCUCAUAACAGUUUUGCAUUGCUUUCUGCCCUGUACACAGCCUUGAUGAUAGGUAGAGGUCUUGUCUGAAGGGCAGGAUGGCUCCAGAUGAGUUGGGGCAGUUAGGUGGACAUCCUUUGUGCACUGUAUUUUUCCUAGAAGCACUGUUUAGUAUUUUUUAUAUUGUUGAAUUGUGUUCAGCAGUAGUAAUAGUGGAGUAUGAUGAUGAUACGCCAAUAAUUAGCAAUAGGGAGUUCUUUACUUAAUCCCAACAUAUUUUUUAGUUGUUUCUAACUUCAGUUUGCAUUCUACCUCCUAAAACCCAGAUUGACUUAAUUCUACCUCUGCAAGCUCUACCUGUCACACAGAACUAGUACAAAUGAUGAGAUCCCCAUUUAAAUCUUCAAUCAAGUUGAGCUGUAUAGGAUUACAAUUCACUGGUUAAUUGUACUAAUUUUACACUUUAAUUUCAGGAAUUUAAGAAAAUGGUGGGACUCUUCAAAGAUUUCCUCACUUCUCCUGAACUCAUUCUCUGGGAACUGAAAGGAUCUCAAUGUAUCAGUUUGCUCAAGUGGCUGCUUUAAUGAGAGACUUUAAUGGUACAGAUGCAUUCCUUGAUGAUUUUUGUUUGCUCUUUUUAUCAUGAAUUUGACAUUACUCUUUCAGAGCGCAAUUUUGCAGUCAUAAAUAUGUGCUUUUUGUUUACACAAUCUUGUUCUUGCAAGUGAAAAGGGGCAGAGAUGUUCACUUGAAACAUUUCUUACAGAAUAAACAUUGGCAGCCAAAGGUAAGGAUGAGAUUCUCAGUGCUUCAUUAGCACAGAUGUCCUGGAAAAGGGCACUAAGAGCUUCAGAACUUGGGUAAAAUGGGAUUCUUGGAAGUAAAUGUAAGCUGUCACCUACCUAACAGGUUUUACAGCAGGAGAGGUGUCUUAGUGAAUGCUGCAGUCUUGCAGCAUUGAUUCAAAUUGGUGCUGUUGUCACAGGCAACAGACAAGAACCAGUGCUCACCUGAAAUAGACCUGUGCACUGAAUUAAACAUGGCCAUUGUGUCACCAUGCCUGCAGUGACAAGUGUGGACAGGAGGCACCUGAAAAAAGCCACCCCCAAAGACUUUCCAUGCUUGAAAGCCUUUGGGUUUUUUCCAACUGAUGGAAUUGCAUUUGCAUCUUGCUGGAGACUCUUAUCUCAAUCUCUCUCCCUGCCAUCCUGCAGUCAUAUAAUUUAUUUACAUGUAGAGCUCCUGAUCAACACCAAGGAAUGACCAAGGUCUGGAGAUUAAACCUUUUUUUCUGGGGACUUUUUGUCCGGGUAGGACUGGUCUCUGCAUGAAGGGGAAUGUGUUAUUCUUCAAACUUUGAUUUCUCACUUGCUUCUUAGAUAGUGAACUGAGCACUGAUGGCCUUGCUUUUGAAAUUAAUAUUUUGUGUUGUAGCUUUGCUGCAGGACUUCACCUCUUACACCCUGGUGUAUCUACAGUGCAGAACUAGGAACAGGUGAGAAUGCAGCUAAGGUUGUACCUCAUACUUAUCAGAAAGACUUCCCCAGGAGUCAUCAGAUUUAAAGUUUUUCAGAAAAACAAGGAUCACACUGUUGGAAUCAGCGCUGUGAACAUAAAUUCUCACCAAGAACUAUGUAAAUAUUAAAAAAAAAUUAAUUUAUGUAACACUUUAAAGUCUACAUAAAUUCAACCUCAAAUGAAAGUCCCAUCCCAAAGAUUUAUAAAGAACUUGUACAUUUUGGACUGGGGAGGAAAAAAAUACCUCCUUUUUAAAUAAAGAGGAAAGCUUAACUCAGAAUGUCUUGUUAUACUCCUGUAUAACAGGAGUUAUAAAUACUCCUGUAUUUAUAUUGCACAUUAAAAUACUUAUAUUAAAAUGUGUCAGUUUUCAAAAGCAA